UACGUAGGGAGCAAGCGUUGUCCGGAAUCAUUGGGCGUAAAGCGCGCGUAGGCGGCCUCGUAAGUCCGUUGUGAAAGUCAAAGGCUCAACCUUUGAAAGCCGAUGGAUACUGUGAGGCUAGAGUCCGGAAGAGGCGAGUGGAAUUCCUGGUGUAGCGGUGGAAUGCGCAGAUAUCAGGAGGAACACCAAUAGCGAAGGCAGCUCGCUGGGACGGUACUGACGCUAAGGCGCGAAAGCGUGGGUAGCAAACAGG
rnacentral:rRNA from 1 species